UGGGGAAUAUUGGGCAAUGGGCGCAAGCCUGACCCAGCAACGCCGCGUGGAGGAAGAAGGCUUUCGGGUUGUAAACUUCUUUUGUCAGGGAAGAGUAGAAGACUGUACCUGGCGAAUAAGCCACGGCUAACUACGUGCCAGCAGCCGCGGUAAUACGUAGGUGGCAAGCGUUGUCCGGAUUUACUGGGUGUAAAGGGCGUGUAGCCGGGAAGGCAAGUCAGAUGUGAAAUCCGGAGGCUCAACCUCCAAACUGCAUUUGAAACUGUUUUUCUUGAGUAUCGGAGAGGCAAUCGGAAUUCCUAGUGUAGCGGUGAAAUGCGUAGAUAUUAGGAGGAACACCAGUGGCGAAGGCGGAUUGCUGGACGACAACUGACGGUGAGGCGCGAAAGCGUGGGGAGCA
rnacentral:rRNA from 1 species